AUUGAACGCUGGCGGCAGGCCUAACACAUGCAAGUCGAGCGGAUGAAGGGAGCUUGCUCCUGGAUUCAGCGGCGGACGGGUGAGUAAUGCCUAGGAAUCUGCCUGGUAGUGGGGGAUAACGUCCGGAAACGGGCGCUAAUACCGCAUACGUCCUGAGGGAGAAAGUGGGGGAUCUUCGGACCUCACGCUAUCAGAUGAGCCUAGGUCGGAUUAGCUAGUUGGUGGGGUAAAGGCCUACCAAGGCGACGAUCCGUAACUGGUCUGAGAGGAUGAUCAGUCACACUGGAACUGAGACACGGUCCAGACUCCUACGGGAGGCAGCAGUGGGGAAUAUUGGACAAUGGGCGAAAGCCUGAUCCAGCCAUGCCGCGUGUGUGAAGAAGGUCUUCGGAUUGUAAAGCACUUUAAGUUGGGAGGAAGGGCAGUAAGUUAAUACCUUGCUGUUUUGACGUACCAACAGAAUAAGCACCGGCUAACUUCGU
rnacentral:rRNA from 1 species